rnacentral:misc_RNA from 1 species
AAGUCGUAACAAGGUAUCUGUAGGUGAACCUGCAGAUGGAUCAUUUUACGAUUUGGUUGGCCUCCGGAGUAAUUGUCACACACGUUAGUGUGUGGCACUUACGAUGUGUUUGGUACCAACCUAUUUUACCCCCCCACAAUGUUGUUUUAUAUUUAACUAUAUAAAAGCUCUUAAAACGAUGUAUUCUUUGCGCGCUCUGCGCAAUCAAACACUCACCAACAACAAACAAUCUAAUGAAAGUCAUUGAAAUUUCUCACAAUCUCAUGGCAAUCAAAACAAGUAUCCAACAACUCUUAACAACGGAUAUCUUGGUUCUC